rnacentral:rRNA from 1 species
GACGAACGCUGGCGGCGCGCUUAACACAUGCAAGUCGAACGAGAGAUGAGGAGCUUGCUCUUCAAAUCGAGUGGCGAACGGGUGAGUAACGCGUGAGGAACCUGCCUCAAAGAGGGGGACAACAGUUGGAAACGACUGCUAAUACCGCAUAAGCCCACGGCUCGGCAUCGAGCAGAGGGAAAAGGAGCAAUCCGCUUUGAGAUGGCCUCGCGUCCGAUUAGCUAGUUGGUGAGGUAAUGGCCCACCAAGGCGACGAUCGGUAGCCGGACUGAGAGGUUGAACGGCCACAUUGGGACUGAGACACGGCCCAGACUCCUACGGGAGGCAGCAGUGGGGAAUAUUGCACAAUGGGGGAAACCCUGAUGCAGCGACGCCGCGUGGAGGAAGAAGGUCUUCGGAUUGUAAACUCCUGUUGUUGAGGAAGAUAAUGACGGUACUCAACAAGGAAGUGACGGCUAACUACGUGC